rnacentral:snRNA from 1 species
AUUGCUUCUCGGCCUUUUGGCUAAGAUCAAGUGUAGCAUUUUAUUUAUUUAUUUAUUGCAGUUUUUGGCUGGGACCAGGUUUGAACCCGCCACCUACAGUAUAUGGGGCUGGUGCCCUACUCCUUGAGCCAUAGGCGCCUC